rnacentral:piRNA from 1 species
UGCCAUGAAGCAUGGCCUUCUUCCUUGAGU